rnacentral:rRNA from 1 species
AUACGUAGGGGGCGAGCGUUAUCCGGAAUUAUUGGGUUUAAAGGGUGCGUAGGCUGUGCGUUAAGUCAGGGGUGAAAUGCCGUCGCUCAACGACGGAGCUGCCCUUGAUACUGGCGUGCUGGAGUACGGAUGCCGUUGGAGGAAUGAGUGGUGUAGCGGUGAAAUGCUUAGAUAUCACUCAGAACACCGAUUGCGAAGGCAUCUGACGAAUCCGUCACUGACGCUGAGGCACGAAAGCGUGGGGAUAGAACAGGAUUAGAUACCCUGGUAUUCCACGCCGUAAACGAUGAUGACUAACCGUCGGCGAUAGACAGCCGGUGGCCAAGCGAAAGCGAUAAGUCAUCCACCUGGGGAGUACGUCGGCAACGAUGAAACUCAAAGGAAUUGACGGGG